rnacentral:rRNA from 1 species
AUGAAUGUUGGUCUGAACUUCACCAAGUCAUCAUCCACACUAGUCAGUGCAUUUUCUGAUUCUGAUUGGGCAGGAUGUGUUGAUGAGAGACGUUCUACUGGUGGGUUUGCUAUAUUUUUUGGACCUAACUUAAUAUCAUGGUGUGCAAAGAAACAGGCUACAGUCUCUAGAUCAAGCACAGAGGCAGAAUACAAGGCGUUGGCAAAUGCAACAGCAGAGAUUAUUUGGGACCAAUCACUGAUGAGAGAACUUGGUGUCAGGAGCACUCAAACUCCAUGCUUAUGGUGUGACAAUCUUGGUGCCACAUACUUGUCUGCAAAUCCAGUUUUUCAUGCUAGAACAAAGCAUAUUGAGAUAGAUUUUCACUUUGUCAGAGAGAGAGUUGCAAGCAGACAGUUGGAGAUUCGGUUUGUGCAUUCUCGAGAUCAAGUUGCGGAUGGGUUCACCAAGGCAUUGCCUACAAAGAAUUUCGAAGAGUUUAAACGUAAUCUCAACUUGACGAAGUUGUGA